rnacentral:rRNA from 1 species
UACAGAGGGGGCAAGCGUUGUUCGGAAUUACUGGGCGUAAAGGGCGCGUAGGCGGCCUGCUAAGUCGAACGUGAAAUCCCUGGGCUCAACCCGGGAACUGCGUCCGAUACUGGUUGGCUUGAAUCCGGGAGAGGGAUGCGGAAUUCCAGGUGUAGCGGUGAAAUGCGUAGAUAUCUGGAGGAACACCGGUGGCGAAGGCGGCAUCCUGGACCGGCAUUGACGCUGAGGCGCGAAAGCAUGGGUAGCGAACAGG